AGCAGUGUGGUGUAGUGGUUUGAGCAUUAGACUAUGAGUCUGGAGACCAGGGUUUGAAUCUCUGCUCUACCA